rnacentral:rRNA from 1 species
UACGAAGGGAGCUAGCGUUGUUCGGAAUCACUGGGCGUAAAGCGCACGUAGGCGGAUGUGUCAGUCAGGGGUGAAAUCCCGGAGCUCAACUUCGGAACUGCCUUUGAUACAGCACAUCUGGAGUCCGGAAGAGGUGGGUGGAAUUCCUAGUGUAGAGGUGAAAUUCGUAGAUAUUAGGAAGAACACCGGUGGCGAAGGCGGCCCACUGGUCCGGUACUGACGCUGAGGUGCGAAAGCGUGGGUAGCAAACCGG